rnacentral:rRNA from 1 species
AAGUCUGGUGCCAGCAGCCGCGGUAAUUCCAGCUCCAAUAGCGUAUAUUAAAAUUGUUGCGUCUAAAAAGCUCGUAGUUUGAAAACUUGCCUUGGCUUACAACAGGUUCCCAUUGGGGGCCACCGUUUGUUGAGAGCAAAUAUCGAUGACUGUUUUUGCCGACUUCAUUGUCCGGCUUAUAAGAGUUAUCAAAUAUCACUUUGAUUAAAUUAGAGUGCUUAAAGCAAGUGUGUUACUUGGAUAUAAAUGCAUGGAAUGAUGGAAUAUGUUGUUGUUCUAUUUGUUGGUUUUUGAACGAUAAAAUGAUUGAAAGGAACUGUUGGGGGCAUUCGUAUUGUUGUGAGAGAGGUGAAAUUCUUAGACCACAGCAAGACGAACUACUGCGAAAGCAUUUGCCAAGAAUGUUUUCAUUGAUCAAGAACGAAAGUUAGAGGUUCGAAGGCGAUCAGAUACCGCCCUAGUUCUAACCAUAA